AUAAAUGUCCUGUAUCUGUAGCUGCAACCGCUGCGAAACAUCCCCACAGAAGUCAUGUUGUGCCAGUUGCUGUGAUUUGCACUGUUGUGCUAUUGAUCUGUCUUCUUUUAGUCAUCAAAUGCAUGAGGACACGACACACCCAAAGCAGGUGCGCAGCGCGAAUGAGCAAGGGUGUGGUUCAUUCUAAUCUGUAAAUCUCGAG